UGUAUAUUUCCUAAAUACCACACCCCAUUCUAAGCACUAUGUAUGUAUUCCCUGGGUCCCCAAGACUAUUCCGUGAACAGACACAACCCGGCGGGGAAGACUGGAACAAGUGACCACAGGUGCCGGGAGCGCCCUGUCCUUCCUCUGCCUUAGCCGUUAUCCUACCCUAUGGCACUGCUGUCUGCUCAGUUCUGCUCCUGGGCUAUGGGGGAAGCACUGUGAGGACGGCACCUAUAGGUUUCCUUCUCUCAUGUAUCCUAGUGCUUCGUGCAAUGGCUGGAGCGUAGAAGGCAAUGACCUCAAUAAAAGAUUCUUUAAACCUGAUCUAACAGUCCAGCACCAAAUGCAGAACGCAAACGAGACGUACAAUUUUCAAGUUUUUGGUUAUUCUGGUCAUUUUUCGACAGAACAAAAUAAGGAAAAGGGGAGAAGAUGCCAAGUCUCCUCUUGUUAAAAACAAAUGUUUAUGGUGGCAAUCUGAAGAAAACAAAAGGAGCAGGGAGUUGCCCGUCAUUGUUGGACUCCCAAUGAGACCAGUUAUCUGCUGCAUUCACUGUGCAGGCCAGUUGUCAGAAGGCUGAAUGUCCUGGUAUUCUUGUCAAUAAAUAUAUCUUUAAUUAAAUUAUCUCAUACUCCAUA